GACGAACGCUGGCGGCGUGCUUAACACAUGCAAGUCGAACGGAAAGGCCCUGCUUUUGUGGGGUGCUCGAGUGGCGAACGGGUGAGUAACACGUGAGUAACCUGCCCUUGACUUUGGGAUAACUUCAGGAAACUGGGGCUAAUACCGGAUAGGAGCUCCUGCUCCAUGGUGGGGGUUGGAAAGUUUCGGCGGUUGGGGAUGGACUCGCGGCUUAUCAGCUUGUUGGUUGGGUAGUGGCUUACCAAGGCUUUGACGGGUAGCCGGCCUGAGAGGGUGACCGGCCUCAUUGGGACUGAGAUACGGCCCAGACUCCUACGGGAGGCAGCAGUGGGGAAUAUUGCACAAUGGGCGGAAGCCUGAUGCAGCAACGCCGCGUGCGGGAUGACGGCCUUCGGGUUGUAAACCGCUUUCGCCUGUGACGAAGCGUGAGUGACGGUAAUGGGUAAAGAAGCACCGGCUAACUACGUG
rnacentral:rRNA from 1 species